rnacentral:rRNA from 1 species
GAUUUGAAAGCCCAUGGCUUAACCAUGGAGGGUGAUUGGAAACUGAUGGACUUGAGUGCAGAAGAGGAAGGUGGAAUUCAACGUGUAGCGGUGAAAUGCGUAGAUAUGUUGAGGAACACCGGUGGCGAAGGCGGCCUUCUGGUCUGUAACUGACGCUGAGACACGAAAGCGUGGGUAGCAAACAGGAUUAGAUACCCUGGUAGUCCACGCCGUAAACGAUGAGUACUAAGUGUUGGGGGAAACCUCGGUGCUGAAGUUAACGCAUUAAGUACUCCGCCUGGGAAGUACGGUCGCAAGACUGAAACUCAAAGGAAUUGACGGGGACCCGCACAAGCGGUGGAGCAUGUGGUUUAAUUCGACGCAACGCGAAGAACCUUACCAGGCCUUGACAUCCCAAUGACCGGUAUAGAGAUAUACCUUUCCUUUUGGACAUUGGAGACAGGUGGUGCAUGGUUGUCGUCAGCUCGUGUCGUGAGAUGUUGGGUUAAGUCCCGCAACGAGCGCAACCCUUGUCGUUAGUUACUAACAGUAAGAUGAGGACUCUAACGAGACUGCCAGUGAUAAACUGGAGGAAGGUGGGGAUGACGUCAAAUCAUCAUGCCCCUUAUGGCCUGGGCUACACACGUGCUACAAUGGCUAGAACAAAGAGAAGCGAAGCGGAGACGUGGAGCAAACCUCAAAAAACUAGUCUCAGUUCAGAUUGUAGUCUGCAACUCGACUACAUGAAGUCGGAAUCGCUAGUAAUCGCGAAUCAGCAUGUCGCGGUGAAUACGUUCCCGGGUCUUGUACACACCGCCCGUCACACCAUGAGAGUUUGUAACACCCGAAGCCGGUGGCCUAACCAUUUAUGGAGGGAGCCGUCUAAGGUGGGACAGAUGAUUGGGGUGAAGUCGUAACAAGGUAACC